CAGUAAGUAGUUUAAUUAAAAUUUUAAUUUUGGAGAUUAGAGAUAAAAUUAUUUAUAUUUUUUUACUGA
rnacentral:tRNA from 1 species